UCAGCGGCAGACGGGUGAGUAACACGUGGGUGACCUGCCCUUGAGACGGGGAUAACGGAUGGAAACAUGCGCUAAUACCCGAUAGGGUCCCAGGGUCAAAGCUGGGAUGAAAGCUUUGGUGCUCAAGGAGGGGCUCGCGGCCCAUCAGCUAGUUGGUGAGGUAAACGGCUCACCAAGGCGAAGACGGGUAGGGGGUGUGAGAGCACGGCCCCCCACAAUGGGACUGAGACACGGCCCAUACUCCUACGGGAGGCAGCAGCAGGGAAUAUUGCACAAUGGACGGAAGUCUGAUGCAGCGACGCCGCGUGGAUGAUGAAGGCCUUCGGGUUGUAAAAUCCUUUACGGGGUGACGAGGAAGGACGGUAGCCCCGGAACAAGCGUCGGCUAACUACGUGCCAGCAGCCGCGGUAAGACGUAGGACGCAAGCGUUAUCCGGAUUUACUGGGCGUAAAGCGUCUGUAGGCGGAUGAGUAAGUUGGGCGUGAAAGCUCCGGGCUCAACCCGGAGAGGCCGGUUCAAUACUGCUGAUCUAGAGGAGGCCAGAGGGGAGUGGAAUUCCUGGAGUAGCGGUAAAAUGCGCAGAUAUCAGGAAGAACACCAGUGGCGAAGGCGGCUCCCUAGGGCCCACCUGACGCUGAGAGACGACAGCUAGGGGAGCGAACAGGAUUAGAGACCCUGGUAGUCCUAGCCGUAAACGAUGGAUGCUAGGUGUAGGGCCGUAGAGGCUCUGUGCCGGAGCGAACGCGAUAAGCAUCCCGCCUGGGGAGUACGGCCGCAAGGCUAAAACUCAAACGAAUUGACGGGGACCCGCACAAGCAGCGGAGCGUGUGGUUUAAUUCGAUGCUACACGAAGAACCUUACCUGGGUUUGACAUGGGCGUGGUAGUGAAGCGAAAGCGGAGCGACCCUUCGGGGAGCGUCCACAGGUGCUGCAUGGCUGUCGUCAGCUCGUGCCGUGAGGUGUCGGGUUAAGUCCCGUAACGAGCGCAACCCUUGCCCUUAGUUACAAGUGUCUAAGGGGACUGCCGGCGGGAAGCCGGAGGAAGGUGGGGAUGACGUCAAGUCAGCAUGGCCCUUAUAUCCAGGGCUACACACACGCUACAAUGGCCGGGUACAGAGGGCAGCGAAGCCGCGAGGUGGAGCGAAUCCCAGAAAGCCGGUCGUAGUUCGGAUUGCAGGCUGCAACCCGCCUGCAUGAAGCUGGAGUUGCUAGUAACCGCGCGUCAGCCAUAGUGCGGUGAUACGUUCCCGGGUCUUGUACACACCGCCCGUCACGUCAUGGGAGUCGGUAACGCCUGAAGCCGGUAGCAUGACCCGCAAGGGAGGGCGCUGU
rnacentral:rRNA from 1 species